rnacentral:rRNA from 1 species
UACGAAGGGGGCUAGCGUUGCUCGGAAUUACUGGGCGUAAAGCGCACGUAGGCGGCUUCUUAAGUCAGUGGUGAAAGCCUCCAGCUCAACUGGAGAACUGCCAUUGAUACUGGCGGGCUUGAGUACAGACGAGGUAGGCGGAAUUGAUUGUGUAGCGGUGAAAUGCAUAGAUACAAUCAAGAACACCGAUUGCGUAGGCAGCUUACUAGGCUGUAACUGACGCUGAGGCACGAAAGCGUGGGGAGCGAACAGG